rnacentral:rRNA from 1 species
AGAGUUUGAUCCUGGCUCAGAUUGAACGCUGGCGGCAUGCCUUACACAUGCAAGUCGAACGGUAACGGGCCUUCGGGUGCCGACGAGUGGCGAACGGGUGAGUAAUGCAUCGGAACGUACCUUUCAGUGGGGAUAACGUAGCGAAAGUUACGCUAAUACCGCAUAUUCUGUGAGCAGGAAAGCAGGGGAUCGCAAGACCUUGCGCUGAUUGAGCGGCCGAUGUCAGAUUAGCUAGUUGGUGAGGUAAAGGCUCACCAAGGCGACGAUCUGUAGCGGGUCUGAGAGGAUGAUCCGCCACACUGGAACUGAGACACGGUCCAGACUCCUACGGGAGGCAGCAGUGGGGAAUUUUGGACAAUGGGGGCAACCCUGAUCCAGCCAUGCCGCGUGAGUGAAGAAGGCCUUCGGGUUGUAAAGCUCUUUCGGCCGGGAAGAAAUCGCAUGGGUUAAUACCCUGUGCGGAUGACGGUACCGGCAUAAGAAGCACCGGCUAACUACGUG